rnacentral:rRNA from 1 species
UACAUGGGGUGCAAGCGUUGCUCGGAAUUAUUGGGCGUAAAGCGCGCGUAGGCGGUUACUUAAGUCGGAUGUGAAAGCCCUCGGCUUAACUGAGGAAGUGCACCCGAAACUGAGUAGCUAGAGUACGAAAGAGGGUCGCGGAAUUCCCGGUGUAGAGGUGAAAUUCGUAGAUAUCGGGAGGAACACCGGUGGCGAAGGCGACGACCUGGGUCGAGACUGACGCUGAGGCGCGAAAGCGUGGGGAGCAAACAGG